AGCUCAGACAUGAACUCAUGUACAAUGGAAAAUGAUUGUUUCUGUGGCUCAGGCCAUAUCCUGUAUGCAUUUGCAACCCAUUCUGUUGGUAAUGAACAUUCAUUACACCCUCUAAUGAAUGUGAUUUCAUAAUGUCACUCUGCUUCCUGUUGGGGGAUUUUCCCAGUAGAAACCCAUUUAGUCAUUAUUUCAAGUGCUGAGUUAGCAUUUUAGCAUGUAGCUGCAGUUCCAGCAUAAUCCAGCUGAGACUGCAGGCUGCUUCCUGACACACUUUUUCUCUCUCUAAAUCUAACUGAACAUGGUUUAGUCAUAUUCAGCACUGACAGCAGCUAUGUGCAUUAAAUGACUUUAAUGGGCUCAAACUACCAGAACACAACACACCUCUCGGUUUCAGUAUAUUAAAGAUUACCAGCUCCUGUAGAGCAGUGGAGGCCAAGUUCUCAUUUUGACCACUGAUAUGUGUUUGUUCUCAACAGUUGUCAGCUAGGUUGUUAGUUUUGACCUACAUCCUCACACAUUGAUGUGUAUUGUUGAAGUUUCCUCAGCAGGCAGGAAACAGACAAAUACUCUUAUGACUUAUGAUAUACAUUGAUAUACAGAGAUGAUGGACUAGCAGUAAAACCAGGAACAGAGUGGAAGGGAAUGAAUUGUAUUGCUUUGUUGUUUUGGUUGUAGAUUCUCUCUGCCUAACAUUUGGAUUAUUCUACUUUAAACUAGCUUACAGUUUAAAGUAGGUUAGCUUAGAGUGGUCUCUUUAGCAGCAGGAUUGUAAUAUCAUUCUGUUACACUGUGGGGUUCAAAAUGAGUUUAAGGGGCACAUACUGUAAUUUUAUCAUACAGAAACUAUCUGCAUGACAUCAACUGUGCAGUACGCUGUACAGGUGUAGCAGAAGACACACAACUUGGGUGUUUAUUUCAUUAAAAACUUUGACUUAAAGCAUGUUGCUUGGUCUUUUGAAGUCCUAAUUUUAUUCCUGAAAGGCUCUCUCCAUAAUAUAAACAGGAAACCUUUUAAAGUUUUUGUUUUCAGUAGUGACAUGAAUGAUGGAUCACCAGAACACUUGAUUUGUGUUCUGGUCUAUGGGCAGCUGCUGUUUUCCUCCAUGUUAUCCUCUUAAAACUUAUGGAAAUACAGUAUAUUGUACAUUUUAAACGAACAGAGAGCUGCACAGUUUUUAUUUCAUGUUUUGGAUCUGUCUAUCUGUUGUGAAGUGACACUGAGUGAACAGCUGGGGGUUGUUGACCAAGGACAAUCAAUACGAGCUGCUGUGGGGAAUGAAUGUUAAAUGAGCCUGCUGUGUUGCCGUCUAUAAUGUGGAAGUCUUUUGAGGUUUGCUUUCUUCUUUCUCUUUUAUUGAAGGAGGCACAGGAAUAACUUCACCUCAGAUAUACUGAGCAGAAUAAAUGUCAUGGAAGAAUUUAGAACCACUUGAAGAGGGAAUACAUUCUUGACAGUUUUCUGAUUUAAAUCACACAUACGUUCUGAAUGUGAAGCAAUCAAAAACUUGCUAACAGGUUGUUGAUUUGUGUGUUUCAGACACCUCAGACUUCUCUUUCUUUUUUCUCUCAUCUCCCUUUCUCUCUGAGGGGUUUGCCAAAAACAUUCCGCCUUACUCUGCAUGCAAAACCUCCAGCCAUUUCUAUGGAGGCGAGAAAGGAAACAUGGGGAGUGUACUUGAGGAAGACGAAUAUAGAAAGGUUCUUGGUUUGUCUUAAUUGAAAUUGGAUUAUAGCCCUGUGUUAGUGCAGCCUAUUGUCUGGCUUUCUGACAACAAGACUGGUGUGCAGACACAGUAGCCAGGCGAAGAUUUAUCACGGUCUAUAAAUCCACUCUAGUAAGACAUGACAUACAAGACUUUUUCCUUAAGUGCAGGAGGGAGGAGAGGAACAGGAGAAGUUGGCUGGAAAGGGGAAGUAGAUGCUAUAAUGCCAGAAGAGAUCACUGAGAAAAGGAGAAAUCUAAACAGAACAGGAAGUGUUGUAACACAAGUGAGACUACGGCAGAAAAAGUUAAAACUAUGGAGGACUAAAGGCAGAGAAGAACUUAUUGAUUUAUUAGAUAUGGUUUAGAGUGAUUGUAAAAAUGUUGAAGCUUAUUUACAGAUUUUUCCCAAUAAAUUAGGAUUAAAUUAAUUAAGUAGGUAAUUCAAUUCAGAAAAUGCAACUCUUAUAAAAACACAUUACUCAAAUUAAUUUAUUAAAAGGAUAUAUUUACAUCCUCCACUAAAAGGAUGUAACAUAAAAGCUGAUUCAUAGGUUACAAUAUAAUAUAGCUGUAUAUUCUCAGGUAGUUGUAACCAAGACAAUUAAAGUAAAACUGAGUGGAAGAAAGAAGUGUGGGAGGAAAAGGUGCACAAACAUUAGGUUAAUUAUACUGUGCAGACCAUAGACAUCCAUUUCAGUAGACAAACAUUUCUGUAUUGUUCCUGAUCUUAUGUAAUAUAAUUUUUUUUAAGAAACAAAAUGUGGUAUUUUGAUUUUGUGCAACUCAUACUCAUCUAAAUUAAUAGAAAUAAAUACAUAAAAUGCAGAAUAAAUCUAUAGAAUUUGUGAGUUUCACUUCUUAAUUCUAAUUAAAGAAGUAAAUUAACAUUUAGUGAUAUUCAAAUUUACUAGAAUAUAGGUGGAACUGAAGCAUAUUGAUGGGGAGAGAGAUGUCUGGGUUUCCCACCUGAACCUGUUACUGCCACAACAUGAUGGCCUUCACUGUUUGAAGAUAGAUAGAAGCUUUGUAGUGCUAACAAAAAUGUGUUUUUUUUUAUUUCCCAUCAUCCCACAGCUUCUGACAUAAAUGAUGAUUUCGUCUUACUCUGCAAGGAGUUUGUGUUAAGAUAGCAGCUGUUUUCUGUGAGCAGCCUGAGUCUCAGUGGUGGAACUGAACUGGUCUUUAACCCUGACUCAGUCCUGGAACCAGCUCUGUGUUGAGGCAUUUCCUGACUGCCAAGUUCAUAUAGGAGCAUAGUCUCACUUUAGUUAAAAAAAAGAAAAUACUGGACACAUUUUCCUAUAAUAAUUAUAACCUGUUUCCUGUGUUUUGUUUCUUUUGGCUGCCUUUUUGUUUCUUUUUAUAGUACUUCAAUUGGAAGUCUUAGAUCGAAUCAGAUUGUAUUCUCUGAUCCCAGAUAAUACAAUUAGCAGUUUUACUGAUCAAACAAUGCUUUGUGUGUGUGAGAGAGAGGAAGAGAGAGAAACUGACUAUUUAUGCUAGAAAAUGUGUAAGGAGUGAUUCCUGGGAAUAACCAUAAUGGGAGAUGACGGAGUGAGAGAGGCAGACAU